rnacentral:rRNA from 1 species
CCUUCAGUUACACGGGACCGUACCGUAAUCGGACACACGUGGGCAGGAUGAAAAUUCUAAGGCGCUUGAGAGAACUCAGGAGAAGGAACUCGGCAAAUUGACACCGUAACUUCGGAAGAAGGUGUGCCCUGGUAGGUUGUAGCCGUACAGGCGAAGGCCGAAGGGGUUGCAAAAAAUCGGUGGCUGCGACUGUUUAAUAAAAACACAGCACUCUGCAAAGAUGAUGAAUCGACGUAUAGGGUGUGACGCCUGCCCGGUGCCGGAAGGUUAAAUGAUGGGGUGCAAGCUCUUGAUUGAGGCCCCGGUAAACGGCGGCCGUAACGAUAACGGUCCUAAGGUAGCGAAAUUCCUUGUCGGGUAAGUUCCGACCUGCACGAAUGGCGUAACGAUGGCCACACUGUCUCCUCCUGAGACUCAGCGAAGUUGAAGUGUUUGUGAUGAUGCAAUCUACCCGCGGCUAGACGGAAAGACCCCGUGCACCUUUACUGUAGCUUUGCAUUGGACUGUGAUGGGAUCUGUGUAGGAUAGGUGGGAGCCUGUGAAGCGGUGGCGCUAGCCAUCGUGGAGGCAACGUUGAAAUACCACCCUGAUGUCAUUGCGGUUCUAACCUUGGCCCCUAUAGCGGGGUUGGGGACAGAGCAUGGUAGGCAGUUUGACUGGGGCGGUCUCCUCCCAAAGAGUAACGGAGGAGCUCGAAGGUACGCUAGGUACGGUCGGACAUCGUGCUGAUAGUGCAAUGGCACAAGCGUGCUUGACUGCGAGACUGACAAGUUAGCAGGUGCGAAAGCAGGACAUAGUGAUCCGGUGGUUCUGAAUGGAAGGGCCAUCGCUCAACGGAUAAAAGGUACGCCGGGGAUAACAGGCUGAUUCCUCCCAAGAGUUCAUAUCGACGGGGGAGUUUGGCACCUCGAUGUCGGCUCAUCACAUCCUGGGGCUGUAGCCGGUCCCAAGGGUAUGGCUGUUCGCCAUUUAAAGUGGUACGUGAGCUGGGUUUAAAACGUCGUGAGACAGUUUGGUCCCUAUCUGCCGUGGGCGUUGGACGUUUGAGGGGGGCUGCUCCUAGUACGAGAGGACCGGAGUGGACGAACCUCUGGUGUACCGGUUAUCACGCCAGUGGUAUUGCCGGGUAGCUAAGUUCGGGAGAGAUAAGCGCUGAAAGCAUCUAAGUGCGAAACUUGCCCCAAGAUGAGACGUCCCUGGAGGUUAACUCCACUAAAGGGUCGCGGAAGACCACCGCGUUGAUAGGUCGGGUGUGGAAGCGCAGUAAUGCGUUAAGCUAACCGAUACUAAUCGCCCGUGCGGCUUGAUCCU